UGCCACAGCCAUAUCACCCUGCAGCCCAAGACUGUUUCCACACUGAAGCUAAGCAGGGUUGAGCCUGGUCGGUACUUGGAUGGGAGACCUCCUGGGAAAACUAGGUUGCUGCUGGAA
ensembl:rRNA 5S_rRNA 5S ribosomal RNA